ACCCCUGGCCAUUCCCAGUGCUCCCUCCCCAUGACAAUAACUGCUGCCAAUCAACGGAAGGGCAUGUGACUCAAGCAGGCCAAUCAGCUGCCUUCCCUGGGACAGAUACCGAAACCCAAGGAGACAGAAGUUCUCAUUUUCCUGGAAUUCUUAACUGAGGCUGUUGAUGGCUACAUACCAGGGGGAAGGAAUGAGGCCCACAUUAGCUCAAAGAGAGCAGCAAGAAACAGAAAUGAGUUUCAGACAGCACCGGAGCCCCAUCACCAGCCCCAAGCCCUGUGUUAUCUCCCUGGAACCUUGGGAGGGAAUGGUGCAGUGGUUUUCCCACUGUACAGAUGAUGAAACCCAGGAUUGCAGAAGCUGGGUGGCUUGCCCGGGCUCACAGUGGAGAUUGGCUGCCUCCUGCACGCCCCGUACAGGAGAUUGA